rnacentral:rRNA from 1 species
UUAUAGCGGAGGUGUCACACCCGUUCCCAUUUCGAACACGGAAGUUAAGCCCUCUUGCGCCGAUGGUACUGCUUCUUGAGGAGCGGGAGAGUAGGUAGUCGCCAAGC